rnacentral:rRNA from 1 species
UACGUAGGGGGCUAGCGUUGUCCGGAUUUAUUGGGCGUAAAGAGCGUGUAGGCGGCCUGGUAGGUCAGCUGUGAAAACUCGAGGCUCAACCUCGAGACGCCGGUUGAAACCAUCAGGCUAGAGUCCGGAAGAGGAGAGUGGAAUUCCCGGUGUAGCGGUGAAAUGCGCAGAUAUCGGGAAGAACACCCGUGGCUAAGGCGGCUCUCUAGUACGGUACUGACGCUGAGACGCGAAAGCGUGGGGAGCGAACAGG